AGAACCUCUCUGCUGGCAACUGGAAGUUUGCAGGAUACAUCCGGGUGGCUGUCUGAAAAUAAAAGGGGCUCCCCAUCCUUGUGGAACUUCUGAGAAUGGAUAACGAUAGAGUUGUUUCUUCCGUGGCAACUGCCUUGAGGAAUAUGACACUAGAUGUUCGCAACAAGGAGCUCAUAAGCAAAUACGCCAUGCAAGACCUGGUCAACCAUCUUCCCUGCAGCAAUGGUCCCAGUGUCUUGUCUGAUGAGUCCAAGGCAGCCAUGUGCUGUGUUCUGCAUGAGGUCACCAGCAAAAACAUGGAGAACACCAAAGCCCUGGCUGACUUGGGAGACAUAGAGAAGCUGGUGAACAUAACCAAAGGCAGGGGCAACAGAUCAUCUCUAAAAGUAGUGAAGGCAGCAGCCCAGGUCUUGAAUACAUUAUGGCAAUAUCAGGACCGCUGGAGCAUUUAUAAAAAUGAUGGGUGGAAUCAGAACCAUUUUAUUACACCUGUGUCGACAAUGGAGCAAGACUGAUUCAAAUCACGUCCUUCCUUGUCUACCACCAACCAAAAGAUGUCACCCAUCGUUCAGUCAGGCUCCAGCAAACCUUCACCAGUUUACAUCAGUUCAUAUUCCUCACCAGCAAGAGAAUUAAAUAGACAACUACAGCAUCAACAGCUGUAUUAUAGUCAAGAUGACUCCAACAAAAUAACUUUGAAUCAUACAGAUUGUAUUUGCAGUCUCCUCAUAGCUAUGAAGACCCUUAUUUUGAUGACCGAGUUCACUUUCCAGCUUCUACUGAUUAGUCAACACAGUGUGGACUGAAAUCAAUCACAAAUUAUGUAGACUUUUAUUCCAUUAAAUGAACUUCUUAUAGAGCAGAACAGUACCCAGGGUCCCCAGAAUCACAGGUGCAGUAUCAAGACGCCCCACAGAGGAACUCUUUCUAACUUUGUUCGGAUUGAGGUGAAAAGUCCAUCUUGCUGAUUUGAUGAUUGAAAUGUGAAAGUGAGUGGAAGGAAUGAGUGAAGUGCAUUUCCUUUUCUUUUUUAAGGAAUUAUCAAGGAAGCGAUGAAACAUUUGGGACAGGACUUUCUAAGCUCUAUUUAGGUGUUACAUCUAAUUACU